rnacentral:rRNA from 1 species
GGAUGCGAUCAUACCAGCACUAAAGCAUCGGAUUCCAUCAGAACUCCGAAGUUAAGCGUGCUUGGGCGAGAGUAGUACUAUGAUGGGUGACCUCCUGGGAAGUCCUCGUGUUGCAUACU